rnacentral:rRNA from 1 species
AUUGAACGCUGGCGGCAGGCCUAACACAUGCAAGUCGAGCGGAUGAAGGGAGCUUGCUCCUGGAUUCAGCGGCGGACGGGUGAGUAAUGCCUAGGAAUCUGCCUGGUAGUGGGGGAUAACGUCCGGAAACGGGCGCUAAUACCGCAUACGUCCUGAGGGAGAAAGUGGGGGAUCUUCGGACCUCACGCUAUCAGAUGAGCCUAGGUCGGAUUAGCUAGUUGGUGGGGUAAAGGCCUACCAAGGCGACGAUCCGUAACUGGUCUGAGAGGAUGAUCAGUCACACUGGAACCGAGACACGGUCCAGACUCCUACGGGAGGCAGCAGUGGGGAAUAUUGGACAAUGGGCGAAAGCCUGAUCCAGCCAUGCCGCGUGUGUGAAGAAGGUCUUCGGAUUGUAAAGCACUUUAAGUUGAGGAAGGGCAGUAAGUUAAUACCUUGCUGUUUUGACGUUACCAACAGAAUAAGCACCGGCUAACUUCGUG